GCCCGUUGCCCCGGAGACGCCGGCUGUUUACCAGCCGGACUGAGCCGGGCAACUGCGGGGCGGAUGGAGCAGCGGCCUGGGGUCUUGAGAAGCAAUGGCCACCGAGGCCCCUGUGAACAUAGCCCCCCCUGAACGCAGCACCACGGGCCGCACGGCCGCUGACGGCUUCAUCUGGCAGCCAGACUCGGCGAACAUGCACGUCCUCAGGCCCAAGUCCGCCAAGGGACGGACGCGGCGGAGCCCGCACAGACCGCAGGGCACAGAGCCGGGUCCUCACCGCGCGCCGGCCUCCCUGACUCCAGCCAUCCCCUGCGAGCCGCCCGGCGGCCAGAGGCCGGGAGCCUGCGCACCCAGGUCUCCAAACCAGGGAGCUCCCGGAGAGAUCCCCGAGCUGCUGCAGCAGGUGCCGGCUGGCGCUUCCUCCUCCCUCAAUAAAUACCCAGUCCUCCCUUCCAUCAACAGGAAGAGCCUGGAGGAGGGGUCUGUGGAAACAGUGGUGAAACAGGCCGGCUCCCUGCAGCUGAGCAGCACCGUGAAGACAAGUGAAGAAGAGUCCAGAGCUCCAGCUUCUUCCCCAGAGAGGAAAGUCAUCGUCCGGACCAGGAGACAGACCUCCCCCAGGGCGGGGGACCCAGAGGAGCCCUCAGAUCAAGAGCCCAGGCUGCUGCUGGCCGUCAGGUCGCCAUCGGGCAGAAGGUUCGUUCACCAUUUCCGGCCCACCGAUGCCUUACAGACAGUUGUCGCUGUGGCCGAGGACAAGAACCAGGCCAGCUACCAGCCCUGCAGCAUUGAAACCAUGGAAGUGCCCAGGAGACGGUUCUCUGACCUCACCAGAUCUCUGCAGGAGUGCAAAAUCCUCCACAAGUCGGUGCUGGGCAUCUCGCAGGAAGAAGGGGAGGGGGAGCUCUGAGUCCACAGCCCCCUAGCCGGGGUCCUGGGUCUCUGAGCAAGGAGCACGCUUGGCUGCUGUGGCCUUCCGGGCAGCUCAGUCCCAAGUGCCGUGUGAACUUGGGGCGGCUGUGAUCCUUGCGACCCACCUUCACAGCCUCUCCUCUGCAGGAGUGAAAUUUGCACAUGCGCCAAGCACAUUGAGAAGGUUCUCUUCCAGUUGUUAAAUUCCCUCCAGCACUGGAGUGAACUGGCAAGUUAACCAGGGCUGUUCCUGAAACCACCGUGACCAGGUCUCCCCCUUCCCCGAGGUCUGGGUCCUUUCUGGAGCACCCGCUUGCCUUUACAAAUGAACUCUCCCUCUCUUGAAGCCAAUGGUUUGCCUUUCUGUAUUUGAUGCAGGAUUAAAUACUUCCCAGAGAGGAUUCAAGUCUGGUAAAUAACCAGGGCUCAGGAAAUGCCAAACUGGCAUUUGUAUUUCUUGCAAACAUCUUUAAGAAACAGGCAGUUGACACUAUCUUGGAAGCAGCCUCUUUGCUGGGCUCGGGUGGCUAGAGUUUCUUGGGGAUUACAGUUUGUGUGAUGUGGCUUCAGAGGAGAGAACAGGUCUUUCGCUAAUACAAAUCCCCCAACACAUCAACGUUUCUGAAAUAGUCUGGGAGCUAGAAAGCAUAUAGCUUCCACAACCGUGGAUUAGCCAAGUAGCCACUUUUAAAUAGAGAAUAAGUAGGUUUGCAAACAUCAGUAGCUACUCUCUGCAUGCCACAGUCUUCCCAAACUGAGAAAAACCAGUGUACUCUGAUUUCCUUUGCUUUUGUCACUCAUGGAAUCUUUUUGUUUUUAAACCAUAUGAACAUACAAGUCUGUACAAGUUUGCACUGAAGGCGCCAUUGGCUUAUCGGGGUGUGGAGACGUGGUCUCGGUAUUUCACCUCCUUCCAACAGAGACUCCCUGGAGCGGGGACAGCGGUGUCCCUGUUUUGUGAUUUCGGAACCCCAGGGAGGACAAGGGUUCCUCUAUGGGGCCUCACUCGGCUGCACCCAUGCUGAGAGACCCUGUGCCCACGUGUCUGGCUGACUGGCACGUGGGGCGUCUGAAUGCCUUAGCCCAGCUGUGUUGAAGACCACGGGGUCUUGGCUUUCCAACUCUGAAGUGGUGACGUGAACAACUCGCCAGAGUCGUCUUGUGUCGGGAGUUCAGCAAGACCUCCAGCUCUCAUCAGGAUCCUCUUUGUGGCCAAAUCACCAUUCAGAGUAGGGGAGCUGGUCCCUCAAGAGCUCUGCCAUCACAGAGCGCUGAGUACAGAGGCGCCCUCCCUGCUCCUGGGUACACAGAGAAGGCAGGAGUUCCAGAAGCCUAUCAGCGUGGCGGCCUCAGCAGCAAGUGCGCCUUGUACCUAGAUAAGGAAGGCGGCUGGAAGUGUUACAUCCAGCAACUUGAUACUCAGCCACGGAGAUUAACGCCAACAUCGUUUCCUCUAAAGAAGGCUCGCCUUGUCCUUCCACAUCCCACACAACCCAGAUCACUCCAGAGUGGGUUCUUUCAGAAUGUGUGGUCCACUUUCCUAAUACCAGCUCAGUUGCAAAGGUCAGCUGGGACUUGCUGGACCUUGGGCAGCCCACGCAGUUGGCCACCUCUCCCAACCAGCGACCAUGGUGGAGGGGACUUGGAUGGGGGGAGCAUGGGGGAUCAGCCUCCA